GGGCCGUUAGCUCAACCAGGUAGAGCAACUGACUCUUAAUCAGUAGGUUAGAGGUUCGAUUCCUCUACGGCCUACCA
rnacentral:tRNA from 1 species